UCAACCCUCUCUGUCUCUGUCUCUGUCUCUGUCCUGAGAGCCACUUCUUUGGCGGAGCUUAGAUUUCGAAUUGGAUUUGAAUUGGGAAUUUCUGGCAUUCAAGGGCCGUCGGUCGUUGGUCUUCGGUCAAGUUGGUCAACGCAUAAAUAUUUCUCUUUGUUCAAGCAUCGCAUCAGAGCCAAAAAAGAGCAUUACGGACUCGUCCGACUCGUACAUACACGUAUCCUGUGUGUGUGCACCUGUGCCAUCUGUCUCUCUCUGUCUCCCUCUGUCUGUCCUCCGACAGGACUACAGCACAAACAAACAAGGAGACGGGCUGGGUAGUGUGGAUGGCCAGAUAUGAGAAACGGUCGAAUGGUCAAGUCAAAGUUAUUGUCAUGUCAUGUCCAUAUUCAUAAAUACCUGGCAAAAUACCUGUGGUGGUACAAUGUGGUACAACACGGCUUCUUCGGAUAGUUUUUCUACACACCCCUACAUAAAUACGGGCAAUCUGAGGGAUCUGAGGGCUCCGAGAAGACUCGCAAGUAGAACCAAUACUUUGUUCUGACACUGAUUCGGCUAUCGGAAAAUAUAGACUGUGUUCAUCGGGUACCAGAUCUGAUGUGUGACUGGAUAAAAAUAUAUUUUGUUACUAAUAAUUAUAUUACUCGUGAUUAUAUUUUGAUACUAAA